UACGAAGGGGCUAGCGUUGCUCGGAAUCACUGGGCGUAAAGCGCACGUAGGCGGAUUGCUAAGUCAGGGUGAAAUCCUGGAGCUCAACUCCAGAACUGCCUUUGAUACUGGCGACCUUGAGUCCGGGAGAGGUGAGUGGAACUGCGAGUGUAGAGGUGAAAUUCGUAGAUAUUCGCAAGAACACCAGUGGCGAAGGCGGCUCACUGGCCCGGUACUGACGCUGAGGUGCGAAAGCGUGGGGAGCAAACAGG
rnacentral:rRNA from 1 species